AUGGACAAUUCCCUAUUUUUGACAGAAAAAAAUAAUAACAUGAUUGAAGUACUCUUUUCCAUUAUCAGACCUAAGUCUUUUGAUGUUUACUCCAAAUUAAUUUUUAAUCAUGUAGAAAAACUUUGGGAAAACAGUACAGACGUCAGACUUGUUUUAGAGUAA